CCCCCCCCCCCCCCGUAAAAUGGGUUCAACCUCACAGGGUGUUAUAAGGACAAAAGAUGUUGAAAAAUCGUGAGGUAGUCAGGUACUAAUGUAAUGGGAGCCAUAUAAGUACAUCAGAAAGACAGGGCACAGGACGCCUGCCCAAGCCCUAUCCAUACAGGACACGGCCAAAAAACUGAUGUUAUUACACCUUGAGUACAAGGAUUGGUGUGACUGGCUAGCACUCCUGGCAGCAAUCCAUGAUCACUACCUGGUGGGGUCAGGUGGUUUGGCCAAAUCACCCACACGUGACUUACCAGCAUCUGUAGGGAGGAAACACAUGCUCCACCUUUCAACAGAUGAUGUAAUGCAGUGGCUCUCAAUCAAGGGCGCAGAGAAAGAGGAAAAUACUGUAGAUGCAUUAUACUGGUAAAACAGCUCUCUAAAUAAAAUUAAAGUUUGAGAUUUUGUUUCCCAUUAAGCUGGAUAAUUUGAAUCCGUGUUUUCGGGGGUGGGGGUGGUGGUGACCUUCCUUUUUCCUAACCCCAGGUAUCAAAGCAUGGUUAUCUCUUGGUGCACCUUGACCUUCUGGAAGAUUGAUCCUGAUGUUGCUCACUGUUUUUAUUCUGAGCCUUCACAUUUUUCCGCUGUGAACUCUGACCCCCCACAAACCCAUUACGGCCUUGUAAGGCCGCCACGAAUACAGUGCUGGACUUCAGAUGUCAGAAACUGGAAAACAAUUAAACUUUUGCCAGUGAAGCGUUGGUGGGGUAAAAAACUACUGUUCUUGCCACUGAAGUUCAAAGGCCAGAUUCAGAUCUCAUUUACAUGAGUGUAAUCCCAUUGAAACCUAAAUGCUUCAGAUCAGCAAUACACUUGAUCUCAAUAGAUUCCUGUAUCAAGAGACACGUCAGGUCUAUAUGUGCAUCUUAUGAAGUACUCUACUGCCCUGUUGAUUCAUAAUAUACCCAAUUUAAAAUCUGUAUCAAAAUUGGUAAGGGACAUGAGGAGAUUGUGAAUUAUAGGAUUUUAUUGUUAACCAGUUUUGUGGUUCUCGUUAACCGGAUUGCCAUUUGGAUUGUGAUCUUUUUAGGCAUGCUUUUGACAGAUUAUCAUGGGACCAGCAUACCACAUAUAUAAAGGUACAGUUUCUCACAUCACAUUCCCAAUCUUAUCUGGAAAUUGUGACUUAGUGGGAGGUCUGUUUUUGACUGAAGUACUUAAACAUAUUUGGCUGCAUAAAGGAAUUCCAAGGACCAUUAACAUAUCUCAAGGGUUGGACAAAACAGAUGUUUAUAACACUAUGUACCUGUUAUUCAGCUUCUUCUAUCUGUAGAUUGUUCAACACUGUACAAAGCAAAAGUUAUUUCCAGUCUUAGGUGGAAAAACUGCACCCUUUUCUGAUCUAGAAUCAGCAAGGGAGAUGGCUGUUAUUUAUUGGUACACACUGAGUACAUAUCUGCUUAAAGGUCCUAGUACAAAUAUCUGAACCUGAGAACUAUGAAGAUUUAGGAUAAAUCUCCAGAGAAUUUUGUUUCCAUUAAAAAUCUUGUUAAUUUCUGACCCCCAUAAUCCUGCCUUCAUAUGUUUCCUAUUUCAAAUGAAACUCUGCUAAUUUGCCACAGAUUAGUGCUCUCUUACAUUUCAAAAGAUACGCUCUUAGCAUGAAUACACUUUGUUUAGUAAAUAUUAAGAUGCCAAAUGAUUGUUCAUGUUUCUAAAGAACAUUGUUAAUCCAAAAUGUGUGUGAGGAGGUGAAGCCUAUGUCCGGUCUGUGUCAUGGAUGUCAGUAAAAUGAAAGACAAGACAUAUAUAUCCUAUUCAGACAGCAUCCCACUACUGCAAAGCAAACACGUACCAUGCAUAUCCUCAAAUUUUGCAGCAUCUGCUACUGUCUUUUGCACUCUGACCCCUUGUUGGUAGCAAACAUGACUUGAUUAGGUGAUUUAAGAGUCUCUGAAAAUGUUUUCGUAUGACUGGUAGAAUCCAUUGUGGAAUGUAAUUUUGGAUUAUCCAUUGCUACCCUCGUCUUCCAGCAGAAGCAAACGUUCUUGUUUUAAAGCUGUUCCUAGUUAGGAUGACUAACAAAAUAACAAGGGAUCUCUAGCUAGAGGUGGCUGAAAUUUUUCAGACAAAUAGUUU